rnacentral:rRNA from 1 species
GAUGAACGCUGGCGGCGUGCCUAAUACAUGCAAGUCGAGCGAACGGACGAGAAGCUUGCUUCUCUGAUGUUAGCGGCGGACGGGGGAGUAACACGUGGAUAACCUACCUAUAAGACUGGGAUAACUUCGGGAAACCGGAGCUAAUACCGGAUAAUAUUUUGAACCGCAUGGUUCAAAAGUGAAAGACGGUCUUGCUGUCACUUAUAGAUGGAUCCGCGCUGCAUUAGCUAGUUGGUAAGGUAACGGCUUACCAAGGCAACGAUGCAUAGCCGACCUGAGAGGGUGAUCGGCCACCCUGGAACUGAGACACGGUCCAGACUCCUACGGGAGGCAGCAGUAGGGAAUCUUCCGCAAUGGGCGAAAGCCUGACGGAGCAACGCCGCGUGAGUGAUGAAGGUCUUCGGAUCGUAAAACUCUGUUAUUAGGGAAGAACAUAUGUGUAAGUAACUGUGCACAUCUUGACGGUACCUAAUCAGAAAGCCACGGCUAACUACGUG